rnacentral:rRNA from 1 species
UACGUAGGGACCAAGCGUUGUUCGGAUUUACUGGGCGUAAAGAGCUCGUAGGCGGCUUGUCACGUCGGGUGUGAAAGCCCGGGGCUUAACCCCGGGUCUGCAUUCGAUACGGGCUAGCUAGAGUGUGGUAGGGGAGAUCGGAAUUCCUGGUGUAGCGGUGAAAUGCGCAGAUAUCAGGAGGAACACCGGUGGCGAAGGCGGUUCUCUGGGCAUUACCUGACGCUGAGGAGCGAAAGUGUGGGGAGCGAACAGG